AAACUAAAGAGUUUGAUCCUGGCUCAGAUUGAACGCUAGCGGCAUGCUUAACACAUGCAAGUCGAACGGCAGCACGAGGAGCUUGCUCCUUGGUGGCGAGUGGCGAACGGGUGAGUAACGCGUAGGAAUCUACCUAGUAGUGGGGGACAACCCGAGGAAACUCGGGCUAAUACCGCAUAAUCUCUACGGAGCAAAGUGGGGGAUCUUCGGACCUCACGCUAUUAGAUGAGCCUGCGUCAGAUUAGCUUGUUGGUGGGGUAAAGGCCUACCAAGGCGACGAUCUGUAGCUGGUCUGAGAGGAUGAUCAGCCACACUGGGACUGAGACACGGCCCAGACUCCUACGGGAGGCAGCAGUAGGGAAUCUUCCGCAAUGGACGCAAGUCUGACGGAGCAACGCCGCGUGAGUGAUGAAGGUUUUCGGAUCGUAAAGCUCUGUUGCCCUAGACGAACAGCAAGGAGAGUAACUGCUCUUUGUGUGACGGUAUAGGAGAAGAAAGCCCCGGCUAACUACGUGCCAGCAGCCGCGGUAAUACGUAGGGGGCAAGCGUUGUCCGGAAUUAUUGGGCGUAAAGCGCGCGCAGGCGGUCAAUUAAGUUGGGUGUUUAAGCCCGGGGCUCAACCCCGGUUCGCAUCCAAAACUGGUUGACUUGAGUGUAGGAGAGGACAGUGGAAUUCCACGUGUAGCGGCGAAAUGCGUAGAGAUGUGGAGGAAUACCGAUGGCGAAGGCAGCCCCCUGGGACGUCACUGACGCUCAUGCACGAAAGCGUGGGGAGCAAACAGGAUUAGAUACCCUGGUAGUCCCAGCCGUAAACGGUGCGUACUUGCUGUAGGAGGAAUCGACCCCUUCUGUGGCGGAGCUAACGCGUUAAGUACGCCGCCUGGGGAGUACGGUCGCAAGGUUAAAACUCAAAGAAAUUGACGGGGGUCCGCACAAGCGGUGGAACAUGUGGUUUAAUUCGAUACUACGCGAGAAACCUUACCUAGACUUGACAUGCAAUUGAUCGCCAUGGAAACAUGGUUUUCC
rnacentral:rRNA from 1 species